CACAACUUGAGAAAAAGGUUUUUUCACAUUCUAAUGAUCUUGAGCAAACUAUGUAACCUCUUGGACUGUUUUCUCAUCCACAUUCACAGGUGCUUGACUGCUUCAGUUCUCGAACUGUUAGGACUUUGGGACAUAUAGAUGCUUAUAAGCAGUAUCUAUAGCAAUCUUAAAAUGACUAAAUGGUGAGUUGCAAGAUAGUUUGGGUGUUUUUUGUUUUUUUUUUAAGAAAAUGCUGAAGCUCUAAUUUACGCCUCUAUUUUCAUUUAGACCCUGACCAUCUCUGAAUUUUGUGAAUGAAGCACUACCUUCAUCAAUUUUUUUUUCAUUGAGUUUUACAUACACCUCAAGUAAUCUGACCUGCCCCUGGUGGCAUAAACUAUUGCCUCUAUUAAUAUGGUUCUCUCAAUGAUUGAUCAUUCUCUAAUCAUCUUCCCUCCCGAUCCAUCCUCUGCCCAAAA
rnacentral:lncRNA from 1 species